rnacentral:rRNA from 1 species
CAGUAGGGAAUCUUCCGCAAUGGACGAAAGUUUGAUGGAGCAACGCCGCGUGAGCGAUGAAGGCCUUCGGGUCGUAAAGCUCUGUUGUUAGGGAAGAACAAGUACCGUUCAAAUAGGGCGGUACCAUGACGGUACCUAACCAGAAAGCCACGGCUAACUACGUGCCAGCAGCCGCGGUAAUACGUAGGUGGCAAGCGUUGUCCGGAAUUAUUGGGCGUAAAGCGCGCGCAGGCGGUCCUUUAAGUCUGAUGUGAAAGCCCACGGCUCAACCGUGGAGGGUCAUUGGAAACUGGGGAACUUGAGGACAGAAGAGGAGAGUGGAAUUCCACGUGUAGCGGUGAAAUGCGUAGAUAUGUGGAGGAACACCAGUGGCGAAGGCGACUCUCUGGUCUGUUUCUGACGCUGAGGUGCGAAAGCGUGGGUAGCAAACAGGAUUAGAUACCCUGGUAGUCCACGCCGUAAACGAUGAGUGCUAGGUGUUAGGGGGCUUCCACCCCUUAGUGCUGAAGUUAACGCAUUAAGCACUCCGCCUGGGGAGUACGGCCGCAAGGCUGAAACUCAAAGGAAUUGACGG